CCACUGAUGUUGGAAGAAUUAAUCAUUCAUAGAUCAACAAUUGGUUCUUUCAUCUCCCUGGCUUUCUCAGACCAAACCAUUAUGUAUUUUUUUCUACCUACUGAUCCUGUUACAGUCUAAUUUUUCAGCUGCAUGUAGCAAAGACAUCUGAAAAACACUGAUAUUUCCAGAAUGCAACUCACUGAAAGAAACCAAUGAGGGUACCUAUCUGCUUCUGUGGGCUUCACAACUUUACUAGUCUCAAGAACUGACUUAACAUAAAAUUCUGUACUAAAAUCACAAUCAGAUAAGCUAUGGAAAAAUGUGGAAGGCAAAUUGAAGUGCACCCAAGUCCGUCUUUCUGGCUUUCUACCAAGAGCAGUCCAUGUGAACUAAUCCAUAAGAUAGCUGACCUUUUACCAAGUAAAGUUUUAGGACUAAAUACUUCAGCUAAUCAAAAACUAAAUUACAUGUAUACAUUAACUCAACCCAUAUCUUUAAAAUUAAGCUGUAUUCUGGCUAGCCAAAACGGCAGCACAUUCAGUCACUACUAAACCAACAAGAAUACAGCUUUUUCAAUAUCACUGCAGAGAAAGAGAAGGAAAGGUGGCAUUUGCGAUUCCAGAGCGCUGCGCCUCAUCACGGCAGUAACAGGGAAGAAAAAGUCACUGGAAGAGAAGGUACAAAUCCAGUGCUUGCCAGAAAACAUCCUUUCAGCCUUGACACAAGUUGUCUGAAGCUCUGUCGAUGCCAACCCCAACCAUUGUGCCAUCAUCAGAGACAUUUGGAGGUUUCUGUGGUACAUUGCAGGGAGCUGCAGCUGCUGUUCAUAGGAAACACAUCCAGACGUAACAAGAAGCAGGGAUUGAACAAGAUAAGAUCUGCACUUGCAAGCAGCCAGAAAGCCACGCAUUACCCAUAUGAGGGAAGAUCACCCACACGGCACAGAUCUGCCAUGAGCAUUGGGAGGGGAGGAGGCAGUUCAGCCAAGUGUACCAUGGAUGCCCUUGCAUUGUGGAGAAAGGCACAAGCAAUUGGAUUUAACCAGCUGGGUGGAAUUUGAUUUGAUUAACUUUGGCACAGUUUCACAUACUCUCAAUUCAUCAGUGAAUGGAGUAACUAUAUUGGAAAGCUACUGGGGAAAAACAACAUUGCCCCUGAUGCUGCUGUCACGGGCAGAUAGAGCACAAUCCCAUACAGUCUCACUCUGUGUUUUUCUCUCUUCAUUGUCUCCCUGGUUAGUUUUUUUGUGCCAGUGUGUGUCUUCCUGUAUCAGGAUUGGCUGCCUUUUCUUAGUCUGAGAUCUUGGCAUGGAAAGAGCAGUAAUUACUCCAUGGUAUGACUCGAUGACUAUGAGCAAGGGUGGGAGUGCCCCCUCUUGAACAAUAAAACCCCUUGUAGAGAAAAGCCUAACUAAACAAAACAAAAUAAUGUGUAAAACCAGGCAGUGCUGCCACAAAGCUCUUUGCCAGCCAGAGAGUCUAUAUGGAGUAUGAAUAAGAGCCUACUGUGUUUUAUUCCGUUCUGCCUGUUAAAGAUCCCAUUCUAUAAAGAGGUAUCUGUUAGUCUGCUCUGAUUUCAUACAAGCCCAGGCAAAUAAAACUUCUUUAGUUUCAAUGAAGCUAGUCCUAAUUUACAGUAAGAAUGAGAACUGAACCAGCCCCAGCAAUUUGGGAUAGUAUGUUCAGACAAAACUUUUUUUCUCAAAUUCAUCUUCAGAAAAUAAAAUCACCCACUUUUAUUCAACUCUCAAUACCUAGCAAUUUUGAAAAUCAGUCAUGGCAGCUCACAGUUAGAAACAUUUAAGUGUAGUAUGAGCUUACAAGUCCUGUAAUAUAAGCUAAUAGAGGUUAAUAUGCAGAAGAUCAAAGUCUUUAGGAACACAGCUCACCAGAAAAGCACGUGUCUGUACAUACAUUUGCUCAGCUGUCUAUACGAAGAAGAGCAUCAGGGAAGUUUAUUGCUUUAUCCUACAGCUCCCCAGCAGACCAGCCUUUGUUUAAAGAAUAGAUUUGAAGAAAAGUUAAAGGUUUCAGAGACAGGGAAUCAAGAUAAAUAUGGUGAACUGUACAGACUCAUCUCAAGAACUUUUUCUGUGAAACAGUCUCACACUGAGUAAAGUUCUCCUAAGUAUUAACAUCUGUAUUGAGUGAAAAUACUUUCCUUGGUUAACUUUCAAAUCAAGAGGUGAAAUUAAAAAGUAAGAACAUUCUCAGUAUGAGAAUUAAAGCUCUUUAAGCAUCCAAGUUUUCAAUAGAGAAGUGUUCAGGCAUGAGUCUUUUUGAUUUUUAGCAAGGUACUACAACUGUAAAUAUGUAGGAAGUCAGAAUUGUAGAGAAGCCAAAAAUCACCCUUCUCCAGACAAAACCCCUGUGCAUAUGCCUGGAAAAUACAGAAAAUGGAAAUAUGGAUCUUAGAGGUAAACAGCCAAAAAUCAGUUAAUGUACUUAACAAAUGAACAACAGAUAUAUAAUUUUGA